rnacentral:tRNA from 1 species
UCUUUCUUAGGUUAAUUUUGAAACUAUCAGUUUGUGGGGCUGGGGAUCUAUGUGGAGAGGGAA